AAGACUUUAACAGACUUCCGCCAAAUUUGAGCCCGCCAUCGACAACAUGAGCAGGAAAAGAGUGGCAAAGUGAUGAAAACGGAGAUCCUGAAGCUAAUACAGCCAGAAAAACGGAUAGUGACGAUUGAACUUAGGAAAAUUUAAAAUGCUGAAAUUAAAAGGAAGAAAAAAGAAAUUCAAGCCGAAAACAAGAAGAAAUAAAGAAGCAAUAAUAGACUCAAACCAGCAAUCUUUGCAAAUGCAAGAAUGUAGAACCCAGCAGUAAUUAUGUGCCCGAGUCCUGCAGUUCGAAUGUUCUAGUACUCGUCGGGAACACUUCUGGACCUAGCAGUAUGCUUAAGACUACUACAUCAAUCAGCAACACACCUGUACCAGUCAGCAACUUGAAAGAACCCUGCUAUACUCGUGUGUCUGUGCCAUACAAUAACUCAGUUGUACUUAAUGGUCAAGAUGUGUUAACCUCUGUCAGCAACACCUCAGUACCUUGCAGUUAAAAUAAGCCUGAGCCAGUAAGCAACUCGAAAGAACCCUACUGUCAUACUCGUGUGCUUGUGCCAAAUAACAAAAUUUCGAAUGUAAUUCUUUGAGAUUUAUUUUUAAUCAACUGCUCUAAUAAUGAUGACUGUGCUAUUCAAAAUCUCAACACUCUUAGCCUAUGGUCUUUUCUCAAAGAUUCAGUGUUUGAUGAUUUAUGGAUUCAAAGGAGAGUAUAUAUAUACAUUAUUUGCUGUGGUUCGGAAUUACCAUAGUGCUUAACAGUAAUCUUAUUACAGUUUAUUUCUAGUCAUCAUGAUCUAUUGUUUUAAAAUAUUAAUUAUGUUCCCCAAACAAAGUUUGGGAACAUAUUGUUUUUACUCUGUUUCUUAUUAUUAUUAUUUUUAUUAUUCUUUUUCUCCGGUACUUUUUUGUCCGGUAGUGUUCUCAAAAACUACAAAAGGGAUCGAUAUGAAACUUUCCAGGAUAAUAGUAUAGCGUUUGUAGAUGUGCAUAGUGAUAGUCAUUUUGUCUGCACGUGCAUGCACGCGCGCGCACGUGCACUGCAAUUUUGGUACAAAAAAUGGAAAAUCAGAAUAUUAAAGGGAUCGAUAUGAAACCUGAAUAGGAUGAUAGUAUAUCAUUUGUAGAUAUGAAAAAUGAUAGUUAUUUUGUCUUCACGCGCACACAUGCGCGUGCACUACAAAAUUUGUACACUAACUUUGGAAUCAGUCUAACUUUUUUGUUGUUCAUUGAAAUGGCUUGAUAUUCAUAUCAUAGGUAGAUAUUGAGAACCUUAACUGAUUUGCAUGGUCAAAAUUACCAAUUUGCACGCGCAUGCACUUCAUUUUGAUUGGAUAAUACUAAAACGUUUGUAACUAUCUUAUCUAUAAAGCGAAUGAGAUGAUAUUCACAGCAUACGUAGACAAUAUGUGUAUCUAUAUAUUGGUGUAGCAAAAAAAUGCCAACGCACACGCGCAUGCGCGUGCAACGUUUUUUAAAUGUUCAUUUUUUAAAGGACGAUAACGUUUUUGUUUUUCGUCAAAUUCUAUUGAUAUUAAUGGUUUAGAUGUGUCUUGGUACUCCUUACAAAUUGCUGUGGUUAGAAUUACUGCUCAGCACGUGCAUGCACGUGUGCUGAAUUCUGAUUGGACGAUUUUAAAAUCGCUAUAACUUCCUUAUAUUUGGUGGAAACGUUAUGAAAUUCACACUGUGGGUAUAUGAUACACAUGCCUGUUGAACGACAUCAACAAAAAUUCGGAUUCAUACACGCGUGCGCGUGUAUGCACGUGCAACGCUUUCUUUCAUUUUUUGGUACUGAAAUGACCAUAUUGAAUUUACUACAUGUAAUUAAAGGCUAAAAUAAAAUGAUUUUUUGCUAUAGAUUCACAAGUACAUCACUUUUUAAUUGGGGGAGGUUUGGGGAACAUCUGUAACGGUCCCCGUUACAAUUAGAACUAGUUAAGCUCUGAUUUUAAUUGUAUAAUUUCAUUUUGAUUAUGUUUAUAACCUAAAUUCAAAUCUUUGUCAGAAAUUAAUCUGUUAUGUUAAUAAAUAUUUUGCUUUUUAC